rnacentral:antisense_RNA from 1 species
CAGAUUUGGUGACAUGUCUCGCACAAGACUGUUACCACGGUUCGAAGAGUUGGUAGCUCUAAGAACCUUGAAAAACCACCGUUGGUAGCGGUGGUUUUUUCUU